UACAGAGGUGGCAAGCGUUGUUCGGAAUUACUGGGCGUAAAGGGCGCGUAGGCGGCCUUCUAAGUCAGACGUGAAAUCCCCCGGCUUAACCUGGGAACUGCGUCUGAUACUGUAGGGCUUGAGUGUAGUCGAGGUAGGCGGAAUUGACGGUGUAGCGGUGAAAUGCUUAGAUAUCGUCAAGAACACCGAUAGUGUAGACAGCUUACUAGGCUACAACUGACGCUGAGGCACGAAAGUGUGGGGAUCAAACAGG
rnacentral:rRNA from 1 species